UACGUAGGGUGCGAGCGUUGUCCGGAAUUAUUGGGCGUAAAGAGCUCGUAGGCGGUCUGUCGCGUCGGUCGUGAAAACUUGGGGCUUAACUCCGGGCCUGCAGUGGGUACGGGCAGACUAGAGUGCGGUAGGGGAGACUGGAAUUCCUGGUGUAGCGGUGAAAUGCGCAGAUAUCAGGAGGAACACCGAUGGCGAAGGCAGGUCUCUGGGCCACUACUGACGCUGAGAAGCGAAAGCAUGGGGAGCGAACAGG
rnacentral:rRNA from 1 species